GGGGGUGCACAGGUUUCGACCCGUGCGGACCGUGGUGUGCGCUGCAGGUAGAGUGGCUACUCUCUUCAAAGUGGCAACCCUUUCAAGUGCCAACAACAACGGCGCUCUCGCUCUUGCUGCGUAAGUAGCGGGCGACGGACACUAUGGCGGGAUGUCUCCGACGCCAUGGAGGUCUGUGACAUUCGGGGGCUUACCGGUGCUGCGGUCCGGAGCAGCAUCGGGACAUCAAUCCGGAAUACGGAGCCAGAUGCGCGCCAUUCCGCACGCUGGUUCCCGACAAUACAAUGAAUGGCUAAACCUGUAGAUGCGUGCAUUGCGCGCCCGGGGACGGGGGUUCGAUUCCCCCCACCUCCAUGU
rnacentral:tmRNA from 1 species